rnacentral:rRNA from 1 species
AUUGAACGCUGGCGGCAGGCCUAACACAUGCAAGUCGAGCGGAGCGGCGGACGGGCGAGUAAUGCCUAGGAAUCUGCCUGGUAGUGGGGGAUAACGUCCGGAAACGGGCGCUCAUACCGCAUACUAUCAGAUGAGCCUAGGUCGGAUUAGCUAGUGGGUCGGGUAAAGGCCUACCAAGGCGACGAUCCGUAACUGGUCUGAGAGGAUGAUCAGUCACACGUUAACGAGGACACGGUCCCGACUCCGACGGGAGGCAGCGUUGGGGAAUAUUGGACAAUGGGCGAAAGCCUGAUCCAUCCAUGCCGCGUGUGUGAAGAAGGUCUUCGGAUUGUAAAGCACUUUAAGUUGGGAGGCGGUACCAACAGAAUAAGCACCGGCUAACUUCGUGCCAGCAGCCGCGGUAAUUC